CCUACGGGAGGCAGCAGUGAGGAAUAUUGGUCAAUGGGCGCGAGCCUGAACCAGCCAAGUCGCGUGAGGGAUGACGGUCCUACGGAUUGUAAACCUCUUUUGCCGGGGAGCAAGCGUGCGUUCGUGAACGCGCGUCGAGAGUACCCGGAGAAAAAGCAUCGGCUAACUCCGUGCCAGCAGCCGCGGUAAUACGGAGGAUGCGAGCGUUAUCCGGAUUUAUUGGGUUUAAAGGGUGCGUAGGCGGGAUGCCAAGUCAGCGGUAAAAAUGCGGUGCUCAACGCCGUCGAGCCGUUGAAACUGGCGUUCUUGAGUGGGCGAGAAGUAUGCGGAAUGCGUGGUGUAGCGGUGAAAUGCAUAGAUAUCACGCAGAACUCCGAUUGCGAAGGCAGCCUGCUGGGCUUUAACUGACGCUGAGGCUCGAAAGCGUGGGGAGCAAACAGGAUUAGAUACCCUUGUAGUC
rnacentral:rRNA from 1 species